CGACCAGUGAUGUAGCGGUUCGAAAACAGGACUAUGACUCUGGAGAGCUGGGUUCAAAUCCCAGCUCAUCCA